AAAAUAUCCCCUUUAGUCCCUGAAAUUUACAUAUUACUACUUAAACAUUCUAACCCCUUACACAUUGGACCCACCAAUUGGAACAUGAUUAGCUUUCGUUUCUGCCUUGUAUCUCAGAUCCAAUUUAAUUUAUUUCUAACUCACAGAACAUCCAACUCGUGCAAUAACCAUAAAUGUUCUAUCAUAACAGACUUUAUCAAAUUAUAAAAAUUCUAACAAGAAAUUCACCACGCACAAUUAGUUUCUUUCUUGCUUUCUUUUGUUUUUGGAGAGAGUUUUGUACAAGGAGGAAUUUCAUUUGAACCUGUUAUGUCUGCAGCUAGCCUCAGCUGGCAAAUACUUGAUUGGAACUAACUAAUAUAGGCUGUACAUUUCUCCAUGGCCGUUCACUGGCUGCUUGAUUGUUUUAAUUCAGCAAUUUCUUUGACCAC
rnacentral:misc_RNA from 1 species